UCUCUUGUAGCUCAGUGGUACUAGUAGAGCGUCCGACCGGUUUCUGGAAGGUUCAUAGGUUCGACUCCUGUUGGGAGAA